rnacentral:rRNA from 1 species
UACGUAGGGUGCAAGCGUUGUCCGGAAUUAUUGGGCGUAAGAGCUCGUAGGCGGUUUGUCGCGUCUGCCGUGAAAGUCCGGGGCUCAACUCCGGAUCUGCGGUGGGUACGGGCAGACUAGAGUGAUGUAGGGGAGACUGGAAUUCCUGGUGUAGCGGUGAAAUGCGCAGAUAUCAGGAGGAACACCGGUGGCGAAGGCGGUGGUCUGGGCCGGAACUGACGCUGAGGAGCGAAAGCGUGGGGAGCGAACAGG